UACGUAGGGUGCAGGCGUUAAUCGGAAUUACUGGGCGUAAAGCGUGCGCAGGCGGUUUCUUAAGUCAGAUGUGAAAGCCCCGGGCUUAACCUGGGAAUGGCCGUCGAAACUGGCGAACUGGAGUGUGGCAGAGGGGGGUGGAAUUCCGCGUGUAGCAGUGAAAUGCGUAGAGAUGCGGAGGAACACCGAUGGCGAAGGCAGCCCCCUGGGCUGACACUGACGCUCAGGCACGAAAGCGUGGGGAGCAAACAGG
rnacentral:rRNA from 1 species